GACGAACGCUGGCGGCGUGCUUAACACAUGCAAGUCGAACGGAAAGGCCCUGCUUGCAGGGUACUCGAGUGGCGAACGGGUGAGUAACACGUGGGUGAUCUGCCCUGCACUUCGGGAUAAGCCUGGGAAACUGGGUCUAAUACCGGAUAGGAGCCAUUUUUAGUGUGAUGGUUGGAAAGUUUUUUCGGUGUAGGAUGAGCUCGCGGCCUAUCAGCUUGUUGGUGGGGUAAUGGCCUACCAAGGCGGCGACGGGUAGCCGGCCUGAGAGGGUGGACGGCCACAUUGGGACUGAGAGACGGCCCAGACUCCGACGGGAGGCAGCAGUGGGGAAUAUUGCACAAUGGGCGCAAGCCUGAUGCAGCGACGCCGCGUGGGGGAUGACGGCCUUCGGGCUGUAAACUCCUUUCGCUAGGGACGAAGCUUUUUGUGACGGUACCUAGAUAAGAAGCACCGGCUAACUACGUG
rnacentral:rRNA from 1 species